CCACAACGGGUGGAGCUUGCGGUUUUAAUUUGGAUUCAACGCCGGAAAUCUUACCGGGACCGACAGCAAUAUGAAGGCCAGGCUGAAGACUUUGCCGGAUUAGCUGAGAGGUGGUGCAUGGCCGUCGUCAGUUCGUACUGUGAAGCAUCCUGUUAAGUCAGGCAACGAGCGAGACCCACGCCCACAGUUGCCAGCGUACUCUCUGGAGUGACGGGUACACUGUGGGACCGCCGCUGCUAAAGCGGAGGAAGGAAUGGGCAACGGUAGGUCAGUAUGCCCCGAAUAUCCCGGGCUACACGCGAGCUACAAUGGUUGGUACAAUGGGUAUCUACCCCGAAAGGGGACGGGAAUCUCCUAAAACCAAUCUUAGUUCGGAUUGAGGGCUGCAACUCGCCCUCAUGAAGCUGGAAUCCGUAGUAAUCGCGUUUCAACAGAACGCGGUGAAUACGUCCCUGCUCCUU
rnacentral:rRNA from 1 species